rnacentral:tRNA from 1 species
AUCGAAGACAUCAGCCUGCUGAUGAGCUCCCACACGAAUUGCUUGAUUCAUUGUAAAAGACGAUGCUGUAACGCGACCCUGUUAUAGGUCUGUAGCUCAGUUGGUUAGAGCGCACCCCUGAUAAGGGUGAGGUCGGCAGUUCAAAUCUGCCCAGACCUACCAUUACAUGGUGCGGCCUAGGACAAAACGGGGCCAUAGCUCAGCUGGGAGAGCGCCUGCCUUGCACGCAGGAGGUCAGCGGUUCGAUCCCGCUUGGCUCCACCACUCUUCAUGAUGCAGCACUGUUCAGAACUUAGAAAUGAACAUUCGGUAAUGAAUGUUGAUUUCUGACUUUUGUCAGAUCGUUCUUUAAAAAUUCGGAUAUGUGAUAGAAAUAGACUGAAUGCCAGUUUCACUGCUGGUAAUUCAGGCUAAGGUAAAAUUUGUGAGUUCUCACGAAUUUUCGGCGAAUGUCGUCUUCACAGUAUAACCAGAUUGCUUGGGGUUAUAU